CUCGGGCUCAAGUGAUUCUUCCACAUCAGCCUCCCAAGUAGCUAGGACUACAAGCCCAUGGUACCACCAUGGUGCCAUGCCGGGCUAGUUUUCUGUUUUUUUUUUGUUUUGUAGAGAUGGGGGUCUCUAUGUUGCUCAGGCUGGUUUCAAACUCCCGGGCUCAAGCAGUCCACUCACCGUGGCUUCCCAAAAGGCUGGGAAUACAGGGAUGAGCCACCAUGCCCAGCCAGUGGAUGCUUCUGACAUGUUAUGUGCAAACAAAGCCAGACCUCUCGGGCCUCAGGUUUGCUUCCUGGGAUGAUCCUAUUCUACUGAACUCACACUGAUCCCUAUAAAGCAAGCAGCAACAUCACGCUUUUGGGAAAGGCCAAUAUGUUUUCCUGUCGAUCAUACCAAUCCCAGGCGCCCUCCUAACAGGAGGGAUCCAGACUAUGGUGUCCAUCACUGAGCAUUCACCCAACAAAGCCACUUAAAAAAACAGCUCAGUAAACUAGAUUCAGAAGUGAUACUUGUUUGUAAGACCUAUCCAC
rnacentral:lncRNA from 1 species